rnacentral:rRNA from 1 species
CGGUACCGGAAUAAGAAGCACCGGCUAACUACGUGCCAGCAGCCGCGGUAAUACGUAGGGUGCGAGCGUUAAUCGGAAUUACUGGGCGUAAAGCGUGCGCAGGCGGUUUAGUAAGACAGGCGUGAAAUCCCCGGGCUCAACCUGGGAACUGCGCUUGUGACUGCUAAGCUAGAGUACGGCAGAGGGGGUGGAAUUCCACGUGUAGCAGUGAAAUGCGUAGAGAUGUGGAGGAACACCGAUGGCGAAGGCAGCCCCCUGGGCCGAUACUGACGCUCAUGCACGAAAGCGUGGGUAGCAAACAGGAUUAGAUACCCUGGUAGUCCACGCCCUAAACGAUGUCAACUAGGUGUUGGGAGGGUAAAACCUUUUAGUACCGGAGCUAACGCGUGAAGUUGACCGCCUGGGGAGUACGGCCGCAAGGUUAAAACUCAAAGGAAUUGACGGGGACCCGCACAAGCGGUGGAUGAUGUGGAUUAAUUCGAUGCAACGCGAAAAAACCUUACCUAACCCUUGACAUGUCCAGAAGCUCUUAGAGAUUUGAGUGUGACCC